AUAAAUUCAUUACUCCCUGACUCACUGAAUAUAUAUCUAAAUACCCAAUUCUAUUUCCCGUAAUAUUUCCUCUUAAUUCCACUUCUAAACUUCAUUUCCCACUCUCGGCUUCUUCCUUUCUUUCUUCCUAUUUCUUUUCUUCUUUUCUUUUCUUUUCCUCUUUUCUUGUUCUCUCGGUUUUUCUUCUUUUUCUUCUCGAUUUCUUUCUUCUCUUCUCUCUGGCUUUCGCUCUCUAUUUUCAAAUGUAUAAAAUGAAGCAACUCUUAACAUUUGUGCUUUAUUUAGCCACCGAGUUAAGCAAGAUGACAAGUAAAUUGAUGAAGCAGGCUAGUGACUAAAAUAGUGAAGAAAAUAGGCGUAGGUAGAUGAGAUUAAUGAAGCAUGCAGCUUUGUGGAGCAAAAUUAAUGACCCAUUCUGGCUUUUUUUUUUUUUUUUUUUGCAAGCGAUGCAUGAUAAUUCCUUUAAUAUAUCUAUGUGCGUCCUCUGAAAAUAUAUAUGUAUUUAUGAAUUAAGUUUGUGCCACAAGUUUUAGUUACUAGACUGCAUAAUUCACUUUGGAUCCAACAUAUAGGUUAGGGCGGGUCAUGUCAGUUAUAACCAGCAGCCAUUGAGCUUGUGAGCCGUACGUUGCCAUGCUACCAGCCGAAGUCACAUGCAAACAAAAGUCCCAAAGGCAGCCGCUGCAUCCCUUUGUUCAUUGCAAUUUCCAAUGGAGUCAGAUCCAUAAAGCCUAUAAGGUGCAGAGUUUAUGAAUAUGUUUGGGUCAUUGAUUUUGAAAAACUUGCACGGUUUGGGUUUUUUGAAUUACUUAUGAAUCUGUUUUUGAUUUGCCAGUAUUCUCCUUGUUUUUUUUGGGUAAUUGUAAAGUUGCAUGUUUGCUUUAGCUUUCCUAUUUUUGGGAUGCAAUUGUUACUGAAGAUCUUAACUAAAUGAUUGAUGUUAAAAUGAAUUUUCUUUCUUUCUUUUUUCCAUUUGCUGGCUUGCUGCAUUUUUUUUUUAUUUGUGUGAUUUUAAUUUUGUAUUACAACUUGAAAGUGAGAUGAAUUCGUCUGAUUAUUCAAACACAUAUUACCGAUCUGAAUUCAAAUGCAAUCCGAAUUAAUCUGAUCCGAAUAUAUUCGGAUCAUAUUUAAGUUUGGAUUGCAUUCAGAUGAGUUUUUGAGCAAUCUGAAUAAUCUGAAAUCCAAUCGGAUGGAUCCAAAUCUAAUCUGAAUCCGAUUUUGCCCAACCCUAGUCAUAAG
rnacentral:lncRNA from 1 species